UUGACUGUCCAUCAUGGUAUCCUCUGUCUCUCGGCACCAAAAAUUCAGCAUGCUGCUCCUGGCAACAUUACUACUCAACUGUUUACUGGGAGUUUGGUCCUAUAUGAUUCAAAGCCAAUAACAUGCUGUAAGAGCGUAUCGUAUUCCGAGAGAUAUCACCAACUGUGUUCUGACUGACCCUACUGAUGGAUGCCUUGCUGCUGUCAUAUUUAUUUCCCCCAGGGAAAAUGAUCUGUACUCCCAGUGAGGGACGAUAUCUUCAGGAGACGCAAAAAUUAGCCAAGGAAGGCAGGCCCUGUUGGAGCGCAGCGUAAUGGAGAGAGUGAAAGACCAAACCUUCAUACGAAUGUUUUGUAAAGGACUAAAGUACUG